GGCUGGUCCGAUGGUAGUGGGUUAUCAGAACUUGUUAACAUUAGUGUCACUAAAGUUGGUAUUCAACCACCCACUGCUAAAUUUGACUGACUUUAA
rnacentral:Y_RNA from 1 species